CCUUGCAUGCCUCUUCAGUYGGUCGCCCAAGUGCAUGCUAGCCUUGGUCGUUCUGUUGGUUUCCUGUGCUAUAUACCUAUCACGAAGGUAUCGAAUCGGCUAAAAAUGUCCCGUUUCCGCCUUGURCUGCKYCCCUUGGGGUUGCGGUGCAGGGUGGACCUCAAAGCAUCUGCCGUGUUCCACUGCUCGCACGUCUYGAUACGUGCUCGAGUUUUUGGCCCAUGGUUGCGUGCUCGAUCUCUCGGAUGCGGAAAAUUGAGUGGGCACGAGGCCUUCGGUCCCUAUUUGCCCC
rnacentral:misc_RNA from 1 species